AAGCUUGUAAUUCAGGGGUAGAAUGUACCGCUCAUAACGGUCCAGUCGUAGGUUCAAAUCCUACCAAGCUUA
rnacentral:tRNA from 1 species